AUUGAACGCUGGCGGCAGGCCUAACACAUGCAAGUCGAACGAGUGGCGGACGGGUGAGUAAUGCCUGGGAAACUGCCUGAUGGAGGGGGAUAACUACUGGAAAAGGUAGCUAAUACCGCAUACCAUCGGAUGUGCCCAGAUGGGAUGAGCUAGUGGGUGGGGUAAAGGCUCACAUAGGCGACGAUCCCUAGCUGGUCUGAGAGGAUGACCAGCCAAACUGGAACUGAGACACGGCCCAGACCCCUACGGGGGGCAGCGGUGGGGAUUAUUCGACAAUGGGCGCAAGCCGGAUGCAGCCAUGCCGCGUGGAUGAAGAGGGCCUUCGGGUUGUAAAGUACUUUCAGCGGGGAGGCGUUACCCGCAGAAGAAGCCACGGCUAACUCCGUGCCAGCAGCCGCGGUAAUUC
rnacentral:rRNA from 1 species